CCCGACCCCAGUCAGGC
rnacentral:rRNA from 1 species